UACCUGGUCCAAAAACUACAGAAACAGAGCCAGCAGAUUGCACAGGAUGAGCUGCGGGUGCGGCGGUACCGAGAGGAGACCACCCGUAUCCGCCAGGAGAUCCAAGAGCUCAAGGCCAGCUCAAGUGCUCCAAUGACAGCUUUUCUGUGAUUGCUGACUACUUUGGCAGAGGUGUUUUCAACAAAUUGACUCUGCUGACCGACCCUCCCACAGCCAGACUGACCUCCAGCCUGGAGGCUGGGCUGCAACGCGACCUACUCAUGCACUCCAGGAGGGGCACUUAAGCAGCCUGGAGGAAGAUGUGGGCAACAGUGGAGGACCAAGAGAACAGACACAAUGGGACCUGGGCGGGCGUUACACAGAAGGCUGGCUGACAUGCCCAGGGCUCCACUCUCAUCUAAUGUCACAGCCCUCAGAACUAAAGCGGACUUUCUUUCCCUGCCUUCUUAUUUAGUCAGCUUGCCAUCCCUCCUCUUCACUAGCAGUGUAGAUCAUUCCAGAUCAGUGGGGGAGGGCACCUCAGCAACCUCUGAGUGUGGACAAUAGCUGCUUUCUUCUCUAUCCAAGAGCACCAGGCUGUGCUUGGGUCCUUGCUCUCAGAGUCUAUAAAUAAAAGAAUAUAAUGA
rnacentral:misc_RNA from 1 species